GCCGGUGCUGAUUCCGGUCAAGGAGCGGAAGAGGGCAUAGGUCCAGUAAUAUGGAGAUGCUGCUGUUAAGAACCCAAAUAUGGCGUUUAAUGAAGAAACUAAAGCGAGCGAGCGUUUUCUUCCCAAGGCAGAGUUUGAGAGGUAGCCGAACAAAGCAGAUCCUGAUGAUAUAUGAAGAAUAACUAAGUCAUAGGGAUUUCAAAAUAACUUUUUUUAAAAUCAUUAUUAAAUGGAAAUAAGAAAAAAAAAUUAAAACAUGUUUAGGAGUGAGAAAAUUUAUUAAUUUUUUUUGUCAGGUAUAAAGUCCCUCUAAAAUAUAUCAUUAAUCAUUUCAAAACUAGUUAGUAUUUGAUGAAGUGAUGUUUUGAAGUGACAUUGAAUUUUUUUUUUUAAAAGAAAGAAAUGAAAAAAAAUUCAAAAUCACUAUCUUUAUAAAUAUGAUACUGAGACAAUUUGAAUAUAUAGUUUAGUACACAAGAUACUAAAUGCCAUGUUAAAAGUUGCUGUUUCAUUUCUCACUCAACCUUUGUUGAACUAAAAGAAACUAAAAAAUUAAUAUGAGAGUGAGAGGAUUACCUAUCAUGCAGCCAAUAAAGAACAUGGACUGAGCCAACCCAACUUUAUACUUAUCACCACAAAUCAAACUCCACUCUGCCACCGUUGAGCUCCGGCGACCAUCAACCCAUUCCCAUGAUCCAGGUUUCAUCCCACAAACGCUCGUUGCAGCCGCAUUGCAGUCCGUUGGGUCGAUGCACUGCCAUCGAGGCUGGUGAUCAGCGAAGAUGACAAUCAUGGUGUGUAGAGCUUCUAAAGUCCAACCCAAAUUGGCCAGCACAAAGUUCUUCCAUUGCCAUGGCCCAAACUCACCGCAGUACUUUCCCAGCAUGUCGUCAAUUGUAAGCCUCUCUGUUGCGGCUGAUUCUACAAUGGGUUCGAUCGUAGGCAAUGGACGUUGGUAUUGUUCUUGAAGCUCAACUUGACUUGAUGUGGAUGUCAAUGUCAUUGUGUUGUGUGGCUUAGAGAGCUAUAAAAUUUUAAGAAGAGAAACUUUUUGUAAUAUCCAAACUAAAAUAAAUCUACACCACAAAUACAUACUCUUAUAACUAAAACUAAAAUAAUCUACACUUCAAAUACAAACUAUAUUAUAACUCAACUCACUACGGUAAUUUUAACCGUUGUUUUAAAUAUACAAACUAUAGUAUAACUCAAUUAUAAUAACUCACAUUUACUAUAAAUACAGUUAAAUAACAAAAUUGUUAGAGAGAUAUUUAUGAAUAAAGCAAAUCUAUUAGUUAUAGAGACUAAAAGGUAUUGUUAGAAAUCUACCAUCACUCAUCCAUAGUGUUGAUUGAUUUUGUUAUAUUUAAAAUCAACUUGAAAAGCGUUAGAUUUUAGGUUUGAAAAUCUGCCUACACUGCAAGACAAUUAAUUUUUUUCUACGUCUCUUUCGUCAGGAGAAAGUUAGUGUAGCAGAAGCUCUACCAAGAAGGAAAGAACAAUGCAACAUCUAACAAUCGAUGUUUGGUCAAAAAGGUCUUUGUGGUGAUUUAUUUUUCUCUCAUAAUUCAAACAAAGGGUACAAAAAUGUCAGGAACUUUGUGGCCGUUUCUUUGAAUAAUUUAGCUGUGUUAGUCAUCGGUAAAAAGGAAAUGAAACAGAUAAAAAAAAGAGGAGGGAUUCAUAUGAUUACCUUCAAACUCAAACACGAAGAGAAUAAUUUGAAGCUUGUGAGUUUUUUUUUUUUUUAAUUUCUCUUUGGUUCUAUGAAAUGAUUUUUUUUUUUUUUUGAUUAAAAUGGGAGUAUUGGAGUUUGAUAACAAUGGGAGUUGGUGAGUUUUUUCUUUUUUGUUUUCUUUGAGAAAGGAAGAAAGUAGAGAAGUGAAAGAUGGCAGUGAGAGUUUAUGAGUUGUUGGCAUUAGGGAGCUUCAAAGAGGCAGAUGGCAAUGCCAGACAUAAACAAACUCUCAAUUAAUUUGGAAACUUUUACAUUUUUCUAUUUUAUAACUCAUUUUCUUAACUUUGAUUUUUCCAAUUUUUCAAAUAUGAGGAAUUUGGUCAGGGUUGGUUAUAAAUAAGGUUACAAAAUACCAAUUUUUUUUUAAUUAAAAAAAAUACAUUACCCAUUUUGAAAUUUUAGCUUAUAAUAAUCCUAACCAAUUUUCAAAUUAAAAGUAGUGUUUUUUUUCUUUUAUUAUUGUUGGGUUAUUGGUACAACUUGACACAUAUUGUUACGGUUAUUCAAACUAUAAAGUUAACCAUAAAUUAUAAUAUUUUUAAGUGAACACAUUAGUCAAUUACGAUUCAUGAUUCUAUUUUGAAGUAAACACAUUGCAAUUGAGUUAAUUACAAUUGAUCUUUCAAUGAGAUUUUAUUAUAACUACAACAAUUUUCAUCACAAAUGGGUAAACAUGACCUUAGAUAGAUGUACUUUUACUCCAGUUGAGAGAAAGUAGAUUAAGCAGUUAAAGUAGGUCAAAUAUUAUUCACACUUAUUGGCAUAACAUUGAUAGAAGAAGAGGAAGAAGCAACAAUAUUGUUGGUAUUAUUAUUCUCACCAUCUUCCAAACCAGCCAAAGUAUCAUAGAACGGCCUAUUAAGAGUCUCAGGUAGAAGAAACAUAAGCAUUCCACCCAAAAUUCCACAAAUUGCAAACACCAAAAAUGGCCAUCUUCCCCCUAAAACCACCACAAAAGGUGCCAAUAUUGCUCCCAUUUGUGUGGCUUGUGAAGCACAUCCCAAAGCCACAUUCCUCACAACUGUUGGAAAAAGCUCAGCAACAUAUAAUCCCAACAAAUUGUAAUUCCCUGCCAUCCCUGAUAGCCCCAACAGCCCACAAACCAUUUUCAAUAUUCCCCACUUCCCUUCACUAUUACUACUACUACUACCAUUCUCGAUCAAACUUCCCAUCAAACAAAAUACCCCACUAAACCAUAAGGUCCAAAUCCCCACCCCUCUCCUCCCCAUCUUCCCCAACAACACCGUCGUGACCGCGAACGCAGGCAUCUCCACGACUGCGUUCAAAAGAACGUUAAUGUAAAGAUUUGUCUUUAGGUUGACGACGUUUAAGCUCAAUCCGUAAUACACCACUGCGUUCAUGAAAUUCACCCCCACUCCAACGAUAAGUCGUGUCCGAGCGGUGGGUGAGCGCAUUAUGUCAAUGAUGUUAUUGUUCUUGUUAUCAAUUGUUUGAUUGCUUUUUGUGUCGAGUGUGAGGACGACUCCUUUCGGAAUGUGCUUUUUGUUGGAGUUUGCUAUGGUGGUUAGAGUUUUCAUGGUCUUCUCGAGCUUUCCUCUCACAAGAAACCAUCUAGGGGACUCGGAGAGGAAGGGGACAACAACGAUGAGGUAAACGAGCGAGGGAAUUGAAGAGACAAUAUAGAGUUUGCGCCAUGAUUGGAAGAUGUAUGCGAUUCCGG
rnacentral:lncRNA from 1 species